GAUGAACGCUGACAGAAUGCUUAACACAUGCAAGUCUUUGGCGAAUCUGUGCUUGCACAGGCUAGCCAAGGCGGACGGGUGAGUAACGCGUAAAGAACUUGCCCUGCAGACAGGGAUAAAAGACGGAAACGACGGAUAACACCUGAUACAGUUGCCGGCACGCAUGUGCCUGGCAAUGAAAAGAGGUGCUGCGGGAGAGCUUUGCGUCCUAUUAGCUUGUUGGUGAGGUGACGGCUCACCAAGGCGAUGAUAGGUAGCCGGCCUGAGAGGGUGAACGGCCACAAGGGGACUGAGAUACGGACCUUCCUCCUACGGGAGGCAGCAGUGGGGAAUAUUGGACAAUGGGGGCAACCCUGAUCCAGCAAUUCUGUGUGCACGAAGAAGGUUUUCGGAUAGUAAAGUGCUUUCAGCAGGGAAGAAGAAAGUGACGGUACCUGCAGAAGAAGCGGCGGCUAAAUACGUG
rnacentral:rRNA from 1 species